rnacentral:tRNA from 1 species
AUCGCUGAUGGCGCGCCGGUGCUGGGGCGUGUGCAUUCCGAAUGCCUGACCGGCGACGCGCUGUUCAGCCAGCGCUGCGACU